CCUACGGGAGGCAGCAGUGGGGCAUUUUGCACAAUGGGGGGAACCCUGAUGCCGCGACGCCGCGUGGGUGAAGGAGUACUUCGGUACGUAAAGCCCUAUCAACAGGAAAGAAAAUGACGGUACCUAACUAAGAAGCCCCUGCUAACGACGUGCCAGCAGCCGCGGUAACACGUAGGGGGCAAGCGUUAGCCGGAGUGACGGGGCGGAAAGGGGGCGUAGACGGCAGUGCAAGUCCUGAGUGAAAGACCGGGGCUCAACCCUGGGACGGCUCUGGAUACUGUAAAGCUGGAGUGCGGGAGGGGCAGGCGGAAUUCCUGGUGUAGCGGUGAAAUGCGUAGAUAGCAGGAGGAACACCGGCAGCGAAGGCGGCCUGCUGGACCGUAACUGACGUUGAGGCUCGAAAGCGUGGGGAGCAAACAGGAUUAGAUACCCCAGUAGUC
rnacentral:rRNA from 1 species